AUUUAUAUAAUAUAAUUUAGUAUAAUUAAUUUCCAAUUAAUAUGUCUUAAUAAAUAAGUAUAAAUA
rnacentral:tRNA from 1 species